rnacentral:rRNA from 1 species
UACGUAGGGUGCAAGCGUUGUCCGGAAUUAUUGGGCGUAAAGAGCUCGUAGGCGGUCUGUUGCGUCGGCUGUGAAAACCCGAGGCUCAACCUCGGGCCUGCAGCCGAUACGGGCAGACUAGAGUUCGGCAGGGGAGACUGGAAUUCCUGGUGUAGCGGUGAAAUGCGCAGAUAUCAGGAGGAACACCGGUGGCGAAGGCGGGUCUCUGGGCCGAGACUGACGCUGAGGAGCGAAAGCGUGGGGAGCGAACAGG